rnacentral:rRNA from 1 species
AUUGAACGCUGGCGGCAGGCCUAACACAUGCAAGUCGAGCGAGCGGCGGACGGGUGAGUAAUGUCUGGGGACUGCCUGAUAGAGGGGGAUAACUACUGGAAACGGGAGCUAAUACCGCAUACUAUCGGAUAACCCAGAUGGGAUUAGAUAGUAGGUGAGGUAAUGGCUCACCUAGGCGACGAUCCCUAGCUGGUCUGAGAGGAUGAUCAGCCACACUGGGAUUGAGACACGGACCAGACUCCUACGGAGGCAGCAGUGGGGAAUAUGGGACAAGGGGCGCAAGCCUGAUGCAGCCAUGCCGCGUGUAUGAAGAAGGCUCUCGGGUUGUAAAGUACUUUAAGUCGGGAGGCGUUACCGACAGAAUAAGCACCGGCUAACUCCGUGCCAGCAGCGGCGGUAAUAC